rnacentral:rRNA from 1 species
GACAGAGGGGGCAAACGUUGCUCGGCAUCACUGGGCGUAAAGGGCGUGUAGGCGGGAAGGUAAGUCAGGUGUGAAAUCCCUGGGCUCAACCCAGGAACUGCAUUUGAAACUCCCUUUCUUGAGUGUCGGAGAGGAAAGCGGAAUUCCUGGUGUAGAGGUGAAAUUCGUAGAUAUCAGGAGGAACACCGGUGGCGAAGGCGGCUUUCUGGACGACAACUGACGCUGAGACGCGAAAGCGUGGGGAGCAAACAGG